rnacentral:rRNA from 1 species
AGACCUACGGGAGGCAGCAGUAGGGAAUUUUCGUCAAUGGGCGCAAGCCUGAACGAGCAAUGCCGCGUGAACGAGGAAGGUCUUCGGAUCGUAAAGUUCUGUUGAAGGGGAAAAAGAGCGGAGAGAGGAAAUGGUCUCCGAUUGAUAUUACCCUUCGAGGAAGUCACGGCUAACUACGUGCCAGCAGCCGCGGUAAUACGUAGGUGGCGAGCGUUAUCCGGAUUUAUUGGGCGUAAAGUGAGUGCAGGCG